GACGAACGCUGGCGGCGUGCUUAACACAUGCAAGUCGAACGGAAAGGCCCUGCUUUUGCGGGGUGCUCGAGUGGCGAACGGGUGAGUAACACGUGAGUAACCUGCCCUUGACUUUGGGAUAACUUCAGGAAACUGGGGCUCAUACCGGAUAGGAGCUCCUGCUGCAUGGUGGGGGUUGGAAAGUUUCGGCGGUUGGGGAUGGACUCGCGGCUUAUCAGCUUGUUGGGGGGGUAGUGGCUUACCAAGGCUUUGACGGGUAGCCGGCCUGAGAGGGUGACCGGCCACAUUGGGACUGAGAGACGGCCCAGACGCCUACGGGAGGCAGCAGUGGAGAAUAUUGCAGAAUGGGCGGAAGCCUGAGGCAGCAGCGCCGCGUGCGGGAUGACGUGCUUCGGGUUGUAAACCGCUUUCUCCGGUGACAAAGCGGUAUUGACGGUAAUGGGUAAAGAAGCACCGGCUAACUACGUG
rnacentral:rRNA from 1 species